rnacentral:rRNA from 1 species
GUGAGAAGUCCGGCUUACUUAAUUUGAAGUCUGGACCAAUAUGUUGGAUGCAUGAGUGCCUAGUGGGCCAUUUUUGGUAAGCAGAACUGGCGCUGUGGGAUGAACCGAACGUUGAGUUACGGCGCCUGAUUAUAAACGCUCAUCAGAUACCACAAAAGGUGUUGGUUGCUAUAGACAGCAGGACGGUGGCCAUGGAAGUCGGAAUCCGCUAAGGAGUGUGUAACAACUCACCUGCCGAAGCAACUAGCCCUGAAAAUGGAUGGCGCUAGAGCGUUUAGCCUAUACUCAACCGUUGUGGCACACGCUGCAGUAAUUUUUUACUGUAUUUGGUGCUUUAUGGCACAUGCGUGCUAGUCAUGCCUCAACGAGUAGGAGGGUCGCGGCGAUAUGCUUUGAAGGAUUACGGCGUGGGCCGGUCUGGAGCUGUCGUCGGUGCAGAUCUUGGUGGUAGUAGCAAAUACUCAAGCGAGAACCUUGAGGACUGAAGUGGAGAAGGCUUCCAUGUGAACAGCAGUUGAACAUGGGUCAGUCGAUCCUAAGGCAUCGGCGAAGGCCGUUAAGAAGCGGUGUCGGUUUUGUGGUAGUAAGUUGUUUCGGCAGCUUAUUGCUCGGCUAUAUGCGCUUGCUCGUUUAUAGUCACCGCACCUGCCGAAAGGGAAUUGGAUUAAUAAUUCCAAACCUAACAGCGGAGAUUGAUUGCUCAUUAGGCUGCGCGAGUCUUGUGCUCGUUGCAGUCGGGGUAAUACACUGCGGUAACGCAAACGAACUCGGAUACGCUGACUAGAGUCCCGGGAAGAGUUGUCUUUUCUUCAUAAGGAGUCGACUCCAUGGAAUUGGUUCAGCCAGAGAUAUGGAGAUGGCGUCCGAAAAGCAUCGCGCUUCUUGCGAUGUCCGGUGCGCUCUAAGCGGCCCUUGAAAAUCCGAGGGAGAGAAUGAUUUUCGUGUUAGAUCGUACCCAUAUCCGCAGCAGGUCUCCAAGGUUAAAAGCCUCU